rnacentral:rRNA from 1 species
GACGAACGCUGGCGGCGUGCUUAACACAUGCAAGUCGAACGGUGAACGAGGGAGCUUGCUCCCUCCAGAUCAGUGGCGAACGGGUGAGUAACACGUGAGCAAUCUGCCCCGAACUCUGGGAUAAGCGUUGGAAACGACGUCUAAUACCGGAUACGACGCGGGAGGGCAUCCUCUCCGCGUGGAAAGAACUUCGGUUCGGGAUGAGCUCGCGGCCUAUCAGCUUGUUGGUGAGGUAACGGCUCACCAAGGCGACGACGGGUAGCCGGCCUGAGAGGGUGACCGGCCACACUGGGACUGAGACACGGCCCAGACUCCUACGGGAGGCAGCAGUGGGGAAUAUUGCACAAUGGGCGCAAGCCUGAUGCAGCAACGCCGCGUGAGGGACGACGGCCUUCGGGUUGUAAACCUCUUUUAGCAGGGAAGAAGCGAAAGUGACGGUACCUGCAGAAAAAGCACCGGCUAACUACGUG